rnacentral:tRNA from 1 species
AAAAGUUUAGCUUAGUGGUAGAGCUCAUGCUUAGCACACACAAGGUUCUGGGUUCAAUCCCCAGAACCUCCA